rnacentral:tRNA from 1 species
AAAAUGUAGCUUAAUAAAAGCACCUGGCUUACACCCAGAAGAUUUCAGCAAUACUGACCAUUUUGA